UCUCUUACAAUCACACGAAAUGAUUUUAUGAUGGAAUCUACGGAAGUGGACGGGGCAAAACAAGACUGCAAGCAGGUUGAAAUGAAUACUUUUGCUGCUGGUGGAGGCGGAGAAGCCAGCAGUAUGGUAGACGUUCACAAGUAACUGUAAUAUGGCGGGGACUCAUUCCCUGAGUCUUUAACCCUUACCCUGCUAAUUUUCAAUAAUGAACUUGUCCAUCUUUCAAUUUGGACAGUACUAUUAACUGUUAAAAGGGGUGCUUACCAAAAAAACACUAAAUGAAUGGCAAAUAGUGCAGAUCUUGAUCAGACUGCACGGCGGAUGUGCAGGCGGAUCAUGAUCUACACUGGUCGCAAAGGCUAGAUCAAUCAUGUCUAGCAUGAUAAGAGUUAAAGAGACUUAGUCUUACGGAGAAUGCACAUGUAGACUUGUAAAAUGUCGGAGAGUAUGCAUACGGAACCCUUUUUAUAUCAUUGUAUAUCUGCAAGCAGUAACUAACAUUAGAAUCGUAACUGAGCGUGUCCUCUUGAAACACGUAUUACAUUUUUAUAUUAAGUAUUUGUUAUUAUAUUUCGAGGUUUAUUAAGUGCAUUUACUCUGUUGCAACGAAGAUUCCAAUGUUUUAUAAAAAGAAUGGUACCUCAUUCUUUACCGGAUUGUCCGAGCCAAAAUGGCCGAUAAUGUUUUAAAGCUCAAAUUCAUUCCUUGAUAUUAUAACACUUGAAACUAUUACUCAGGAAUGUUAACACAAUGCUGCAUUUAAGUAUAUUAUGAUCUGUCUUUUACAAAUAAUUUAAAAAUGUAUAACUUUCUUGUUCAGAAAACUGACAGAAAACUAGAAUAACUUGUAUGCAUUUACGACAGAUAACGGAGUCCUUUAUACUAGAAUGAUGAAAAUUCCGCUUAUUGUAGAGGGUUUGAGAUGUGUUGUACAUUCCAUUACAUCUUAAGAACAGACUUAAUCAAACCGAAUCUGUUAUCAUUUUGUUUUGUUUCGUUCCUAAUGCUGCAAGUGGAUUUCUUAAAGAUUUUAUUUACAAUUUCACCAUGUCAUAUUAUGUUAGACCAUUUCAUAACUGUUAGUUUCUUUACAGGUACAGUUUAUCAUUGGAGGACAUUCCAUUCGAAGAAGAACAGUUACCAGAAAAUUACCCUAUAGAUGGAAUGGCGCAGGGCCUCGUUAAAGCAUGGCAGCUAUACAAAAAUAAUCGAGGGGACGAUCAAAGGAUACAAAAAAGCUCCGU